rnacentral:ncRNA from 1 species
AUCACUAGGGGUGCCUUUAUGGCUGAGAAUUACCCUUUGUACCUGAUCUGGUUAGUACCAGCGGAGGAAAGUGACAU